UUCCGGUUGAUCCUGCCAGACCCGACUGCUAUCAGAGUGGGACUAAGCCAUGCGAGUCAACGCCGCAAGGCGUGGCAUACGGCUCAGUAACACGUAGUCAACAUGCCCAAAGGACGUGGAUAACCUCGGGAAACUGAGGAUAAACCGCGAUAGGCCAAGGUUUCUGGGAUGGACCAUGGCUGAAAUCUAUAUGGCCUUUGGAUUGGACUGCGGCCGAUCAGGCUGUUGGUGAGGUAAUGGCCCACCAAACCCUGUACCGGUACGGGCUUUGAGAGAAGGAGCCCCGAGAUGGGCACUGAGACAAGGGC
rnacentral:rRNA from 1 species